rnacentral:rRNA from 1 species
CAGGAUAGCCCGGAACUGGAGUAAUACCUGAUGAUAUCUCCGAUCAAAGCUUCGGCCACCUUGGGAGCGGGGAAACGCCCUAUCAGGUUGUUGGUGAGGUAACGGCUCACCAAGCCUAAGACGGGUAGCGGGUGUGAGAGCAUGACCCGCCGCAUCGGGACUGAGACACUGCCCGGACUCCUACGGGAGGCUGCAGUAACGAAUAUUCCGCAAUGCGCGAAAGCGUGACGGAGCAAUGCCGCGUGUGGGAUGAAGCUUUUCGGAGUGUAAACCACUGUCAGAGUUUAGGAACUCAAUGACCAGACUCAAAGGAAGGG